GACGAACGCUGGCGGCGUGCUUAACACAUGCAAGUCGAGCGGUAAGGCUCCUUCGGGAGUACACGAGCGGCGAACGGGUGAGUAACACGUGAGCAAUCUGCCCUUCACUUUGGGAUAACCACCGGAAACGGUGGCUAAUACCGAAUACGACCACUUCAGGCAUCUGAUGGUGGUGGAAAGUUCCGGCGGUGAAGGAUGAGCUCGCGGCCUAUCAGCUUGUUGGUGAGGAAAUGGCUCACCAAGGCUUCGACGGGUAGCCGGCCUGAGAGGGUGACCGGCCACACUGGGACUGAGACACGGCCCAGACUCCUACGGGAGGCAGCAGUGGGGAAUAUUGGACAAUGGGCGAAAGCCUGAUCCAGCAACGCCGCGUGAGGGAUGACGGCCUUCGGGUUGUAAACCUCUUUCAGCGGGGACGAAGCGAAAGUGACGGUACCCGCAGAAGAAGGACCGGCCAACUACGUGCCAGCCGCCGCGGUAAAAC
rnacentral:rRNA from 1 species